rnacentral:misc_RNA from 1 species
CCCUUCCGUAGGUGAACCUGCGGAAGGAUCAUUAUUGAAAUGAAAUCUCUAGCAAGGGGCUGUCGCUGGGCACUAGCCAUGUGCACGCCUUUUGUCUAUUUCUUCUUCUUCUCCCUGUGCACCAUUUGUAGACUUUGCUUGUCUACGUAUCACAUAACCUUAUGAAUGCAUCGUUUGUAAUAUUAUAUAUGUAAUAUUAUACAACUUUCAACAAUGGAUCUCUUGGCUCUCGCAUCGAUGAAGAACGCAGCGAAAUGCGAUAAGUAAUGUGAAUUGCAGAAUUCAGUGAAUCAUCGAAUCUUUGAACGCAUCUUGCGCUCUUUGGUAUUCCGAAGAGCAUGCCUGUUUGAGUGUCAUUAAUCUCUAAAAACACUUUGUUUUUGAUACUGGGAGUCAUUGCUGGCGGCUGUUAAAGCUUCAGCUCUCCUUAAAUUCCUUGAGGACGAAAUGUUGGUGUGUGAUAAUUGUCUAUGCCAAACAAGUAGUCCCUUGCUACGUUUUUUUUUUUUUGAUUGACCUCAAAUCAAGCAAGACUACCCGCUGAACUUA